rnacentral:lncRNA from 1 species
UUGAGACAAAUGGAUUGAGAUGUCUGUUCACAUUAUUUUUAAAAAGUGAUGGGCUCCCAUAUUGGCAGAGGCAUUGAGGCACUCAGCAGGGUCAACUGGGACAGUGCUUCUGAGCAAAGUGUCCCCUUCCUGUCACUUGGAUUUGGUCAGAGAGCUCACAACCUCAGCUGCACCAUCUGCUUUUUCAGAGGACAAGGAGACCCUCAUGGCCCAGAAGAAAUGGCAAAUGAAACAAAUUCUCCUUGAAUUCGUGUAGAACAUAAUUCUGCAACAGAUAGAAUUUCCUUUUCAUCCAAAUAGAUCACUUGGGUGAUAAAUGUUAGAAACUGAGUAGGUUGCAUGGG